GCCAUCUGCUGGAAGAAGAUAAACUAGACUUAUUUUUAAAAUCCCUCAAGGACUGGGUCCAAGGAUUGGUUGCUUUCCAGAGGCUGGUCAGAGGCGCGCAGGACACAUCCGGCUGCUUGAAGUACACCAUCAGACUGCUAACGGCUCCCAGCUAGGGCUCAACCCAACCCUCUUGUGCCCUGCAGUCAUCACCGGCUUUGAAAGAAAACCGAUUCUCUGGAAUGCCGUGCGUGCACAUGCCUGUCGGGGCAGCAGGCCCCACCUGCGGAGCAGAUCCAAGACUGUGAUGCCUGCCUCCUGAAUCAAAAGCUUCCUGGACAGCUACAGACCUGGGACCCAGAGAGGAGGCCUGAAUGAGUUGGUGACAUCUGUCAGUCAGGUUCUUCACUUAGGGGGCUACAGGCAAUGGAGAAAUCGUAGGCUGGAGACGUCAUGAUCACAGAAACAAGUGACAAGGAAAGCGGUCUCCAAGGUGG